GGUUGGCUGUGACGAUUACUAUUCCCAACGCUUGGAAUGAACCAAAGUGAUUAUUAACCAAUCCUUUUCUGAGCCAAUC
ensembl:snoRNA C07A9.14 ncRNA